GCAUCGCUAGGCAGACAUAUUUCUUAUUGCGUGUGAGUUGAAAGAAAGACGCUUCUAAUUUCUCUCUUUUAAGUUAAAAUUUUUCCUCAUUUGAUUUUACUGCUAAACGUCAGAAAUGUCUGACGGUUUGCCCUCUGGCUCAUCUGCGGCCAAUCGCUCUGCCAAAAAGCGUAAACUGAAUUGGGGAAAGGCUAAAAAGCCAACUAAAUGGACGCACAAUGUCGAACAAAUAUUGGCCAAACGCUACGCGGAUGGGCGACCGCAACUAUUGUUAAAAUGGGUCGGUUAUCCAUUACAGCAAAGCACCUGGGAGCCCAUUGAGAACUUGAGCGGUGAUUGUCUGUCAAUGCUGGCGGACUUCGAGGCAGCUGAAUUUGCAAAGUUAAACGCUCAAACUCGAGGGUCAGACCGACGUCAGGGUGUUGUUGACUCAUCCCCACUGAAGCAAGAAAUGGAAUAUAAAAAGACACAGAAGCCUCAGCAGCGAAAGAAGCAAAAGAAGCAGCAGCCAAAACAGAAGUUUGAACCAAUGAAUCAACCAGAUCUGUCUUCAGAUUUAUGUCAGGAUCUUAUGGUCAGUAGCGACAGCAGCGACUGCGCCGGCAAUGACAGCGAUAAGGAAAGUGUCAGUGGCAGCAGCAGUAGCAGCAGCAGCAGCAGCAGUAACAGCAGCGGUAGCGACAGUGACAGCGAUGAUGCUAAGCGUCGGAAGCCAAAUCCAAAAUCUAAGCCUACGUCCAGUGCAUUUCUUAGCGAUCUGAAUUUGCCACCCAAACCUAAUCUAAGCAGCGAUGGUGAUUCUGAUGAUAACCCCACAUCACUGCCGAAACCAGUGCCAUCAGCGGCUCCAAAGAUGCUGCCAAUGGCAGCAGCGGCUCCAAUGAUGCCGCCAGUGGCACCAGUGGUUCCAAAGAUGCCGCCAGUGGCACCAGCGGCACCAAAGAUGCCGCCAGUAGCAUCAGCGGCUCCAAAAAUGCCGCCAGUAACAUCAGCGGCUCCAAAGAUGCCGCCAGUAACAUCAGCGGCUCCAAAGAUGCCGCCAGUGGCACCAGCGGCUCCAAAGAUGCCACCAGUGUCAUCAGCGGCUCCAAAGAUGCCACCAGUGGCACCAGCAGGCUUAAGGAUGCCACCAGCGGGUUUAAAGAUGCCACCAGCUGCUCCAAAGAUGCCACCAGCACCUCCAAAUAUGCCACUAGCGGCUUCAAGGAAGAAACCGGAGGCGUCAAAGAAGCCUAAGAUAAGGCCAGUGUCAAUGCCUUUACUUACACAGCCGCCUCUAGCUGCACAUAAGCCACCAAUAUCGUCUCUUGCUCCACCUGCACGUGCAGCAACUCCACCUCUUGCAAGAAUUGCAUCACUUAAACCAGCUGCAACAAAUGUGCCACGUCCAUCACUUAAGCCAUUGGACCCAUCAGUACCACUAUCGCAAUUUGAACCACUUGACCUGUCCCAAUCAGAACAACCUGUUAAAACAAAUGAUAAAAAUAUUGCUUCGAAAAAUAUUUAUAAACGAAGCUCUGUCAUGGAUCUAAAUCAUCCCGAUACUGUGAAAAACUCAAAGGUGGAACCCAUGUCGACAGCCAAUCUCGAUGUGCAGGAUUUAUCCAAAAGUUCGUGUUAUAUGAAGGAGAACAAUGAGCAUGCAAGCGAUAAUUUACAUAAAUCAUCCCAGAAGCCUGGAGCUUCAGAUGAGGAGAGCAGCAAGCGCAAAAAAAAGUCGCAAAGUCAACCGAAAUCAUCGAAGAAAAGUCGCUCUGAUGCGCUGCCGCUGACUAUGGAUACAUCUCCAAAAAAGAGUUCCAAAUCUAACAAAUCUAAGGCCUUGACAGUUGAGCAUACACAAGACAUACCAGCUCCAUUACCAAACCUGUCCGAAGUACCGAAGGAGAUCCCUGCCAGCACCACAAGUGCCGAAAGCAGCAGCAACGCUGCACCUGCUCAAACCGAAUGCGAUUAUCGACUCCACGAAAUGGGCAGGUGGGAUGAUGCACUAAACUUACAAGCUCGCGUCCAGGGCCUCCAACGUGGACUGACAUUGGAGAAAAUCCUUAAGGUGUUCAAGAUGCGAGGCGAAACCUAUCUGGUGGUCAAGUGGAAAACACUCACAACACCCGAUGCUGUGUCACUCUGUUCUAUCAUUGACAUGUAUCCGCACUUAGUUAUAGAGUACUUUGAGAAACUCCAGUUGCGCUGCCCCACAGAUACUUAAUACCUAUUAGCUCUAUUGGCGAUAGUCUCAGAUCUUUAUAGAGUUCCAAUUGGCAAGUUCGAUGCCUUUCAGAUUAAUGUUGUUGCUGCACUUAGUCGUCAAUUGGCAAACUAUAAAAAAAAUUUUUUUUUUUAAAUGUAUUUAUUCAUACGAAGUCUUCUUAAUUUUGUGAACUGCAGCUGGAAACCAGUUUAAUUUUAAUUUUUCCUAUAAUCUGAUGAAAUUACCCAACAAUUUAUUGCAACACUCUGAUGGCUGAACUAUUUUCACAUUCAAUAUGAUAUUACCAAGUGCUCCUCGAGAAACUACAAUUCCGAAGUUCGAUUAAUUGACAGCUGCUGGUCGCGUAUACCCUACUAAAACACUCUUGUUAUUUUGUUUCUUGUUUUUUUGCACUUUGUGACUUUACUUUCGCGUCUACCGCAACUUGUUGCAACUGUGCCACUGACUCUGCAGCUGGUCGGUCCCCUCUGUCGGUGGUUUGUUACUUUUUAUGGCUUCCAAACUGGGCUUUGGGCUGGCCUCACCCCGCCCCCUCGUGCCACCUUUGCUGCCUGCCUGGCUGCAGAACAACGAACUUUGAUUUCAUUCGACCAAGUGGACAGGCCAUAAAUCAUAAGCAAAAUCGAAAAAAAAGAAAGCGUUGACUACUAACGGAAGUGCUGAGUGCUGAGCCAUGGGCCUGGCCCCUAGAGCGUUGCCAUUUUCGACCCAUUGGGCGAAAGUAAAUCGAAAUUGAAGUACGUUUUGUACGGCUUUUAAAUGUCGCUGGUUGAUGGCCUUAAACGAGGGGCAGGCAGGUUUAUGUUGACGUUUUUUUAUGGCGCUGAAAUUCAUAAUAAAUAUCGAUACUUAAGUA